CCUACGGGGGGCUGCAGUGGGGAAUAUUGGACAAUGGGGGGAACCCUGAUCCAGCCAUGCCGCGUGUGUGAAGAAGGCCCUCGGGUUGUAAAGCACUUUCAGUGAGGAAGAACGCCUGGUGGUUAAUACCCAUCAGGAAAGACAUCACUCACAGAAGAAGCACCGGCUAACUCCGUGCCAGCAGCCGCGGUAAUACGGAGGGUGCGAGCGUUAAUCGGAAUUACUGGGCGUAAAGCGCGCGUAGGUGGCUUGAUAAGCCGGUUGUGAAAGCCCCGGGCUCAACCUGGGAACGGCAUCCGGAACUGUCAAGCUAGAGUGCAGGAGAGGAAGGUAGAAUUCCCGGUGUAGCGGUGAAAUGCGUAGAGAUCGGGAGGAAUACCAGUGGCGAAGGCGGCCUUCUGGACUGACACUGACACUGGGGUGCGAAAGCGUGGGUAGCAAACAGGAUUAGAUACCCUAGUAGUC
rnacentral:rRNA from 1 species